UACGAAGGGGGCUAGCGUUGUUCGGAAUUACUGGGCGUAAAGCGCACGUAGGCGGGUUGUUAAGUCAGGGGUGAAAUCCUGGAGCUCAACUCCAGAACUGCCCUUGAUACUGGCGAUCUCGAGUUCGGGAGAGGUGAGUGGAACUGCGAGUGUAGAGGUGAAAUUCGUAGAUAUUCGCAAGAACACCAGUGGCGAAGGCGGCUCACUGGCCCGAUACUGACGCUGAGGUGCGAAAGCGUGGGGAGCAAACAGG
rnacentral:rRNA from 1 species